rnacentral:rRNA from 1 species
GACUGGAGUCUGCAACCCGACUCCACGAAGCUGGAUUCGCUAGUAAUCGCGCAUCAGCCACGGCGCGGUGAAUACGUUCCCGGGCCUUGUACACACCGCCCGUCAAGCCAUGGGAGCCGGGGGUACCUGAAGUGCGUAACCGCGAGGAUCGCCCUAGGGUAAAACUGGUGACUGGGGCUAAGUCGUAACAAGGUAGC